GUGAAAUAUUUAUUUAAAGCUUAUAUAUAUUUGGAAUAUGGCCAAAAGUUUCUACACCAAACCUUAAAUUUGGUACUAUAAGUAAAAGUAAAUUGGGA
rnacentral:ncRNA from 2 species